UAACGGCGAGUGAACAGGGAUUAGCCCAGCACCGAAGUCUGCGUCCGUUUGGGCGUUAGACAAUGUGGUGUUUAGGUUGGUGUUUUCGAAUGUUGCUCUGUUUAAAGUCCAUUCUUGAAUAUGGCUAAUAGUUUGGCCCAGAGAGGGUGAAAGGCCCGUGUGGACAGAGCGAUGUUUGACUGUGCUAACCAUGGAGUCGGGUUGUUUGAGAAUGCAGCCCAAAGUUGGUGGUAAACUCCAUCUAAGGCUAAAUACUGGCACGAGUCCGAUAGCGAACAAGUACCGUGAGGGAAAGUUGAAAAGUACUCUGAAGAGAGAGUUAACAGUGCGUGAAACCGCUUAGAAGCAAACGGGUGUAGUCAAGCUGCAAGCCUUAAGAAAUAGGUUGGUCAGAAUGGCGUGAGUCUGAGCAUACAGAGCUGCCAGGUAGGUCCGACUAUAUGUCGGGUUCGGCUCGCAAGAGUCGGAUUUGUGGAGCGUUUACGCGCUGCAUGCCUGCUUGUCAGUUGCUCUACUGGCCCUCUCAAUUUCUUUUGGCGUAUGUCACGACCGUCUUCGCUGUCGGUCUGCUCCAUUUAAACCGUUUCGUGAGUAGUUUCGUGCUGCUUGCGUUCUGGGGGCAGGUAGCUGAUCUAGUCUCGGCUGGAUUGGUGUAAUUGCUGAGUGGAGUGGUACCUGUAACUGUGCAGUAAGAUGGGGCUGGCGGUGCAUUGUUGCCGGGCGUGCGUGUGUUAUCGUGGUUGGCGUAUGGCUAUCUGUUGCUGUUAAUAACGGCCUGGUGGUUGCCCGAUUGCGGUGUCAUUCGUUACGUUUGGUCAAUCUUUGCGUUGUGCCUAUAGUCUGUGGCGUAGUGGUAGACGAUCCACCCGA
rnacentral:rRNA from 1 species